AGCUCCAAUAGCGUAUAUUAAAGUUGCUGCAGUUAAAAAGCUCGUAGUUGGAUUUGUGGCGCGGCCGUCCGGCGGGGGUCCUUCUAUGGUCUCGUUUGUCCUGGUUUUCGGCCGCUCCUUUCUCGGGUAGAGCGUAAUGGCUGGCAUUAGGUUGUCGGCCGCUUCGCGCCCGUCGUUUACUGUGAAAAAAUUAGAGUGUUCAAAGCGGGCGUUUGCCAUGAAUACAUUAGCAUGGAAUAAUAGAAUAGGACCUGGUCCUGUUUUGUUGGUUUGUGAGUAUCAGGUAAUGAUUAAGAGGGACGGUUGGGGGCAUUUGUAUUCCAGCGUCAGAGGUGAAAUUCUUGGAUUGCUGGAAGACAAACAGCUGCGAAAGCGUCUGCCAAGGACGUUUUCAUUGAUC
rnacentral:rRNA from 1 species